rnacentral:rRNA from 1 species
UGCCAGCCUCCGCGGUACUACUGAUUGUGCAAUCGUUGUCCGGAUGUAUUUGGUUUAAAGGGUGCGUAGGCGGAUAAUUAAGUCAGUGGUGAAAUCCAACAGCUCAACUGUUGAACUGCCAUUGAUACUGGUUAUCUUGAGUACAGUUGAGGUAGGCGGAAUUUAUGGUGUAGCGGUGAAAUGCAUAGAUACCAUAAAGAACACCGAUAGCGAAGGCAGCUUACUGGACUGUAACUGACGCUGAGGCACGAAAGCGUGGGGAGCGAACAGGAUUAGAUA